rnacentral:rRNA from 1 species
AUUGAACGCUGGCGGCAUGCUUUACACAUGCAAGUCGAACGGUAACAGGCCUUCGGGUGCUGACGAGUGGCGCACGGGUGAGUAAUGCAUCGGAACGUGCCCAGAGGUGGGGGAUAACGCAGCGAAAGCUGUGCUAAUACCGCAUGUGAUCUGAGGAUGAAAGCGGGGGACCAAGCAGCAAUGUUUGGCCUCGCGCCUCUGGAGCGGCCGAUGUCAGAUUAGGUAGUUGGUGGGGUAAAGGCCUACCAAGCCGACGAUCUGUAGCUGGUCUGAGAGGACGACCAGCCACACUGGGACUGAGACACGGCCCAGACUCCUACGGGAGGCAGCAGUGGGGAAUUUUGGACAAUGGGCGCAAGCCUGAUCCAGCAAUGCCGCGUGCGGGAAGAAGGCCUUCGGGUUGUAAACCGCUUUUGUACGGAACGAAAAGGCUCUGGCUAAUACCUGGGGCUGAUGACGGUACCGUAAGAAUAAGCACCGGCUAACUACGUG